rnacentral:rRNA from 1 species
AAGUGCCUACGGGACGCAGCAGUGGGGUAUAUUGCACAAUGGGGGGAACCCUGAUGCAGCGACGCCGCGUGGGUGAAGAAGCGCCUCGGCGCGUAAAGCCCUGUCAGCAGGGAAGAAAAUGACGGUACCUGAAGAAGAAGCCCCGGCUAACUACGUGCCAGCAGCCGCGGUAAUACGUAGGGGGCAAGCGUUAUCCGGAUUUACUGGGUGUAAAGGGGGCGCUGACGGCGAUGCAAGCCAGGAGUGAAAGCCCGGGGCCCAACCCAGGGACUGCUCUUGGAACUGCGUGGCUGGCGUGCAGGAGG